ACUAGCACAUAGAUGCUCUAGAGCUAGGGAUGGUGGGAGUUGUAGUUCAAAAACAGGUGGAGGGCCAAGGUUUCCCACCCCUGCUCUAGAGUGAGCAAGAGUUGGCGGUGGCCAGGAGUCGGAGGCAGAGGGCCGGUGGGCAAAACCCCACUGGGUGGAGGAGGCAGUGGACAGCCUGGCCCUGGCUGGCCCGCCAGGGUGAGACAGCCUGGCCCAGGGGGAUCCACUAUGUCACAGAAAAGGCUAACAUGACUGCUGCAUUUUAUUGUUUGUUUUUGUUUUUCCCUGCUCUCAAGGCAAAAAGAAUGCUAUCGCAUGGGUGCACAAGAGAAGUAAAACACGAGAACACUGAAGUUUUAAAAAAGAUCUUUCCACCCCUUUCCAAAAGGACUAGACACCCUAGAUUAAAGGGCUUAAUUAGCAGUAGCUGGAACAAGCCUGUCAAAGUCAACUGAAGUCAUUAAUUCCAUUCCCCCAAGGUCCCAAAAUUCAACACAGUAUUCCAAGUGAUGUUUGACCAGUGCAAAAUAGAGUGGAACUAUCACUAUCCAAUGGAUCUCUCCCAAUUUCCUAAAGGAAAAAUCUCCUGAGUUGGGAGAGUCAAGAAGGAAUUCUGCAUAUAUAUUAUACUGUACUUUAGCAGACAGCACCAUAAUCUUCAACAGAGCUGCUAAAGAGCCAUCAGAUGAAACCUCACUGGGGCAAGCAAACAGAAUUAAAGGUGAUUGAGGAGUCACUCUUCUGCCUGUGACACCUACCAGAGAAAGGGCUGUUCCUGCCAUCAACAGCAUGCAGUCUUUUCACUGAUGUGACAACGGCUGGUGGUGUUCCUCUUCAAACAAGUUGUACACCAGUCUGAGACUCUGGACAAGCCCAAUCAGCUCAUUGCGCAUCUACUUUCUUUGCUUCAGCUGCACAUCCAUGAGACCUCUCAUAGGAGUGGUAUGAACUAUGAAAAAGUGCCAUUUGGGAUAGUUUUCUUAAAAUAAAUAGAUUGGGAGUUUGUGUUUGGUUUGGUUUUCUUUAUCAAGCCACAUGCUACAUUGCAGAAGAAAAGCUAUCAUAAAAUAGCCUUAUGAUGUCAUUGUAUGCAUGU